rnacentral:rRNA from 1 species
AACGAACGCUGGCGGCAUGCCUAACACAUGCAAGUCGAACGAUGCUUUCGGGCAGAGUGGCGCACGGGUGCGUAACGCGUGGGAAUCUGCCCUUUGGUUCGGAAUAACAGCGAGCAAUUGCUGCUAAUACCGGAUGAUGACGUUAAGUCCAAAGACUUAUCGCCAGAGGAUGAGCCAGCGUAGGAGUAGCUGGUUGGUGUGGUAAAGGCGCACCAAGGCGACGAUCCUUAGCUGGUCUGAGAGGAUGAUCAGACACACUGAGACUGAGACACGGCCCAGAUUCCUACGGGAGGCAGGAGUGGAGAAUAUUGGACAAUGGGCGCAAGCCUGAUCCAGCAAUGCCGCGUGAGUGAUGAAGGCCUUAGGGUUGUAAAGCUCUUUUACCCGUGAUGAUAAUGACAGUAGCGGGAGAAUAAGCCCCGGCUAACUCCGUGCCAGCCGCCGCAGUAA